rnacentral:rRNA from 1 species
GACGAACGCUGGCGGCGUGCUUAACACAUGCAAGUCGAGCGGUAAGGCCCUUUCGGGGGUACACGAGCGGCGAACGGGUGAGUAACACGUGGGUGACCUGCCCUCAGCUCUGGGAUAAGCCUGGGAAACCGGGUCUAAUACCGGAUAUGACUCCAUGACGCAUGUUGUGGGGUGGAAAGCCUUGUGCGGCUGAGGAUGGGCCCGCGGCCUAUCAGCUUGUUGGUGGGGUGAUGGCCUACCAAGGCGACGACGGGUAGCCGGCCUGAGAGGGCGACCGGCCACACUGGGACUGAGACACGGCCCAGACUCCUACGGGAGGCAGGCGGUGGGGAAUCUUGCGCAAUGGGCGAAAGCCUGACGCAGCGACGCCGCGUGA